rnacentral:lncRNA from 1 species
CUGGCAGCCAGCUGCCCCUGACACUCUAGGGAGCACACACUCAACAGAGACUUCUGGAAGUCAAUAUGAUGGGAAGAAUAGGGAUUCUCUGGUCAGUAAGCCCUGUGGUCAGCACAGUUCAAAGGACAAAAGACUCGAAUCUCAACUCUAAACAGGAUAACCUUGGACACUAGAGACCACACUCCACCCUGAAGACUGUGAGCCCCUCAUAAACCCUCUGCUGUCUUGCCUCCUCCAUAUCGGCUGGGAAGCAAAGGUAGGGACAGGAUUAGAACCCUACCUAGUUUGGGGCUUUUCUUCCCAAACAUUCCCAGAGAACAGAAGACUAGGCAGCAUGAAGAAAACCCAAGACUUCAUUUUUUUUUUCUUUUCCUUAAUGGCACUGGAGAUGGUUCACGGGGCUUGUAUGUUAGGCGAGCCUCUUACCACUGAGCAAAGCAUCAUUCUUGAGACUGUUUCUAAAGGGUCUGAUCUAGGGGAGUGGACACAAAUCCCUGGAGACAGUAAUCCAAGGACAGAUUUCUUUUUUUUUUUUUUUUUUGGGUCUUUUUUUUCGGAGCUGGGGACCAAACCCAGGGCCUUGCGCUUCCUAGGUAAGCGCUCUACCACUGAGCUAAAUCCCCAGCCCCUCAAGGACAGAUUUCUUAAGUGUGAGAGGAGACUACUUUUAUGUCACCAGCUCUUAGGCUCUUCCUCAUAGCCAGGACAUUCUGGUACAGAAUAGGUAGGAUCCAGAGUUAAGUUCCAGGACCCUGGACACAUCUGGUGCCAGCUUUUCUAUCCACUACUUUCCCCAA